CACUCCUGCGGGAGGCAGCAGUGGGGAAUUUUGGACAAUGGGCGAAAGCCUGAUCCAGCAAUGCCGCGUGAGUGAAGAAGGCCUUCGGGUUGUAAAGCUCUUUUGUCAGGGAAGAAACGGUGAAAGCUAAUAUCUUUUGCUAAUGACAGUACCUGAAGAAUAAGCACCGGCUAACUACGUGCCAGCAGCCGCGGUAAUACGUAGGGUGCAAGCGUUAAUCGGAAUUACUGGGCGUAAAGCGUGCGCAGGCGGUUUUGUAAGUCUGAUGUGAAAUCCCCGGGCUCAACCUGGGAAUUGCAUUGGAGACUGCAAGGCUAGAAUCUGGCAGAGGGGGGUAGAAUUCCACGUGUAGCAGUGAAAUGCGUAGAUAUGUGGAGGAACACCGAUGGCGAAGGCAGCCCCCUGGGUCAAGAUUGACGCUCAUGCACGAAAGCGUGGGGAGCAAACAGGAUUAGAAACCCUAGUAGUCCC
rnacentral:rRNA from 1 species